CCACUGCUGACGAAUCCCAAACAGGACGAAACAGCUGUCCAGUAC
rnacentral:hammerhead_ribozyme from 1 species